GAUGAACGCUGGCGGCGUGCCUAACACAUGCAAGUCGAGCGAAGCGCUGUUUUCAGAAUCUUCGGAGGAAGAGGACAGCGACUGAGCGGCGGACGGGUGAGUAACGCGUGGGCAACCUGCCUCAUACAGGGGGAUAACAGUUAGAAAUGACUGCUAAUACCGCAUAAGCGCACAGGACCGCAUGGUGUAGUGUGAAAAACUCCGGUGGUAUGAGAUGGACCCGCGUCUGAUUAGGUAGUUGGUGGGGUAAAGGCCUACCAAGCCGACGAUCAGUAGCCGACCUGAGAGGGUGACCGGCCACAUUGGGACUGAGACACGGCCCAAACUCCUACGGGAGGCAGCAGUGGGGAAUAUUGCACAAUGGGGGAAACCCUGAUGCAGCGACGCCGCGUGAAGGAAGAAGUAUUUCGGUAUGUAAACUUCUAUCAGCAGGGAAGAAGAUGACGGUACCUGAGUAAGAAGCACCGGCUAAAUACGUGCCAGCAGCCGCGGUAAUACGUAUGGUGCAAGCGUUAUCCGGAUUUACUGGGUGUAAAGGGAGCGUAGACGGAUAGGCAAGUCUGGAGUGAAAACCCAGGGCUCAACCCUGGGACUGCUUUGGAAACUGCAGAUCUGGAGUGCCGGAGAGGUAAGCGGAAUUCCUAGUGUAGCGGUGAAAUGCGUAGAUAUUAGGAGGAACACCAGUGGCGAAGGCGGCUUACUGGA
rnacentral:rRNA from 1 species